rnacentral:rRNA from 1 species
UCCAGACUCCUACGGGAGGCAGCAGUGGGGAAUAUUGCACAAUGGGGGAAACCCUGAUGCAGCGACGCCGCGUGAGCGAUGAAGUAUUUCGGUAUGUAAAGCUCUAUCAGCAGGGAAGAAAAUGACGGUACCUGACUAAGAAGCCCCGGCUAACUACGUGCCAGCAGCCGCGGUAAUACGUAGGGGGCAAGCGUUAUCCGGAUUUACUGGGUGUAAAGGGGGCGCAGACGGCGAUGCAAGCCAGGAGUGAAAGCCCGGGGCCCAACCCCGGGACUGCUCUUGGAACUGCGUGGCUGGAGUGCAGGAGGGGCAGGCGGAAUUCCUGGUGUAGCGGUGAAAUGCGUAGAUAUCAGGAGGAACACCGGUGGCGAAGGCGGCCUACUGGACUGCAACUGACGUUGAGGCCCGAAAGCGUGGGGAGCAAACAGGAUUAGAUACCCGUGUA